rnacentral:tRNA from 1 species
GCCUGGGUGGCUCAGUCGGUUAAGCAUCUGACUUUGGCUCAGGUCAUGAUCUCAUGGUUUGUGAGUUUGAGCCCCGCAUCAGGCU